rnacentral:lncRNA from 1 species
CCUCUGAGUCUUACCUUCCACCACCUCUUACAAGUUCUAGGUUCCAUAGUCCCUCUACCCUUAUGCACUCUCAUCUCCAUGACUUUUUUUUCUUUUUUUUUUCCCAGCCAGAAUCUCAUCCACUCUUCUGCGUCCAUUCACAUGUCCUGGGAAGGCUUCCCUGAUCACCUCAUAGAACUCGCGAGAGACCUUGUCUCACCAGAACUCUUCACCCCGAAAAUAAAGGCCACACAAAGAGACUGAGAAAAGGAACCACCGCCAGAAAAGCAACCAAAUACAGAAAC